rnacentral:rRNA from 1 species
CAAUAGCGUAUAUUUAAGUUGCUGCAGUUAAAAAGCUCGUAGUUGGAUUUCGGGUGGGAAUGGCCGGUCCGCCGUUUCGGUGUGCACUUGCUACGCCCACCUUGCUGCCGGGGACGUGCUCUUGAGUUCACGCUCGGGACACGGAGUCGGCGAGGUUACUUUGAGGAAAUUAGAGUGUUCAAAGCAGGCCUACGCUCUGAAUACAUUAGCAUGGAAUAACACGAUAGGACUCUGGCCUAUCUUGUUGGUCUGUAGGACCGGAGUAAUGAUUAAGAGGGACAGUCGGGGGCACUCGUAUUUCAUUGUCAGAGGUGAAAUUCUUGGAUUUAUGAAAGACGAACUACUGCGAAAGCAUUUGCCAAGGAUGUUUUCAUUAA